CUUUUGUGGGGUGCUCGAGUGGCGAACGGGUGAGUAACACGUGAGUAACCUGCCCUUGACUUUGGGAUAACUUCAGGAAACUGGGGCUAAUACCGGAUAGGAGCUCCUGCUGCAUGGUGGGGGUUGGAAAGUUUCGGCGGUUGGGGAUGGACUCGCGGCUUAUCAGCUUGUUGGUGGGGUAGUGGCUUACCAAGGCUUUGACGGGUAGCCGGCCUGAGUGGGUGACCGGCCACAUUGGGACUGAGAUACGGCCCAG
rnacentral:rRNA from 1 species